rnacentral:rRNA from 1 species
GUGGGGAAUAUUGGACAAUGGGCGAAAGCCUGAUCCAGCCAUGCCGCGUGUGUGAAAAAGGUCUUCGGAUUGUAAAGCACUUUAAGUUGGGAGGAAGGGCAGUAAGUUAAUACCUUGCUGUUUUGACGUUACCGACAGAAUAAGCACCGGCUAACUUCGUGCCAGCAGCCGCGGUAAUACGAAGGGUGUAAGCGUUAAUCGGAAUUACUGGGCGUAAAGCGCGCGUAGGUGGUUUUGUAAGUUGGAGGUGAAAUCCCCGGGCUCAACCUGGGAACUGCCUCCAAAACUGCAUGACUAGAGUACGGUAGAGGGUAGUGGAAUUUCCUGUGUAGCGGUGAAAUGCGUAGAUAUAGGAAGGAACACCAGUGGCGAAGGCGACUACCUGGACUGAUACUGACACUGAGGUGCGAAAGCGUGGGGAGCAAACAGGAUUAGAUACCCGAGUAGUCC